GCACUGCUGAAGAGUCCAUACUAGGACGAAACGGCCGUCCAGUGU
rfam:Schistosoma mattheei strain Denwood, Zambia genome assembly, scaffold: SMTD_contig0021201